CAGUAGCCGCGGGAAUACGGAGGGGGCUAGCGUUGUUCGGAAUUACUGGGCGUAAAGCGCACGUAGGCGGCUUGGUAAGUUAGAGGUGAAAGCCCAGGGCUCAACCCUGGAAUUGCCUUUAAGACUGCCGAGCUAGUAGGUGAGAGAGGUGAGUGGAAUUCCGAGUGUAGAGGUGAAAUUCGUAGAUAUUCGGAAGAACACCAGUGGCGAAGGCGGCUCACUGGCUCAUUCUAGACGCUGAGGUGCGAAAGCGUGGGGUGCAAACAGGAUUAGAUACCCCCGUAGUCCCUGUCUCUUAUAC
rnacentral:rRNA from 1 species